UCCCGGCAGCGCAGGCGCCGCGCAGGCCGCGCAGGCCCCGCAGGCCCCGGCCCCGCCAUGGCCGCGCUGCACGGCAAGGCGGGCGGGCCCCCGCAGAUCCCGGACACGCGGCGGGAGCUGGCGGAGCUGGUGAAGCGCAAGCAGGAGCUGGCGGAGACGCUGGCCAACCUGGAGCGGCAGAUCUACGCCUUCGAGGGCAGCUACCUGGAGGACACGCAGAUGUACGGAAACAUCAUCCGCGGCUGGGACCGCUACCUCACCAACCAGAAGAACUCCAACAGCAAAAACGACCGGAGGAACCGCAAGUUCAAGGAGGCCGAGCGGCUCUUCAGCAAGUCCUCGGUCACCUCAGCAGCGGCUGUCAGUGCACUAGCUGGAGUUCAGGACCAGCUCAUUGAGAAGCGGGAGCCCGGCAGUGGCACAGAAAGUGACACUUCUCCAGACUUCCACAAUCAAGAGAAUGAGCCCAGCCAGGAGGAUGCUGAGGAGCUGGAUGGGUCUGUGCAGGGGGUAAAACCCCAGAAAGCUGCUUCUUCUACUUCUUCUGGGAGCCACCACAGCAGCCACAAAAAACGGAAGAACAAAAAUCGACACAGGUAUGUAUAUUAGGUUAGGCUGGGAAGUUUUUUUUAAAAACAGAAAAGCGUGAUGGAGGAUUGAUCUCAAGUUAAACAAAAAGCCAAGAGCCGACUACUAGACUCAUCAGUGCUGAUGCUUCUGAGAUUUAGGUCUACAUGAAUCCCCACUGAGAAAAAUGCCAGUCGACCGAGUGAGCAGGAUGGCAGCGCUCUGGCCAAGAGUCUGCAGAUGGGAGGGGCUCACUCCAAAGAGCUUACAUGGGGGGAGAACAUCUUGGACCAUGUACUUUGCAUCAUUUUUAGAUCACCUGAGUUGCAGGAAGACUAAGGUGAGCAGUGGUAGUAGUAGUAGUCCUGAAUUCCUGACUAUUCUGUGCUUCCACCUCAGUCGGGAACUGCCUAAAAUUGGCGGAUCCUGCUGCUGCCACCCCUGUCACCUGCAACCCAUGGAGAGGCAUUUCUUUUUCCACUGGAACUGGGCUGUGAUUCUGUAUGUCCCACCUAUGUUGUAAGACUUAGAGUACUUCAGUUGCUGAUAUUUAGCUUUGUAGUUUUACUUUUGUUUUGGUUUCUUGUUGCUUUUGUUGUUUGUUUUUUUUAAACCAAAGUGUAUAGUUAACAAAUUGACUUUUGGUUUGUUUGUUUGGAUCCUCGUAGAGUGGCAGGUUCUUCAUUGUGUGGAAGAGCUCAUUUUGAUUCUUACUCAUGCAGAGAGAAGAAAGUGGUUAAACCCUUUUCUAUAACUUUAAUUUUCAACACCAUCCCCUAAAAUGUAUGCAGAGCUUUUAGAUGCAGGGAAGGCUGGAGCUCAAAGCCCUCUUGCUCUUUGCUGUCUUUGAGGUUGGGUAGAUUCUCUUUUUAAUACAAACUUCUGUCAUUUGUACAUAAACAAUAAAAGUUACAUGUUUGUCUCUCUUCUUA